rnacentral:rRNA from 1 species
AGGAGACAACGGGCAAGGAGGAGGGGGAAGACGGAGGGUGAGAGCGUUAAUCGGAAUGAGUGGGCGUAAAGCUUGCGCAGGCGGUUGUGUAAGACAGAUGUGAAAUCCCCGGGCUCAACCUGGGAACUGCGUUUGUGACUGCACAACUAGAGUACGGCAGAGGGAGGUGGAAUUCCGCGUGUAGCAGUGAAAUGCGUAGAGAUGCGGAGGAACACCGAUGGCGAAGGCAGCCUCCUGGGCCAGUACUGACGCUCAUGCACGAAAGCGUGGGGAGCAAACAGGAUUAGAUACCCCAGUAGU